UAAAAGGAUCAGCAUGUCGGUUGACAGCAGCAUAGUUCUGCAGUUCCGACUUCAAGUGCUCAAUCUUUCUCCCAGCCAAUGAAUUGCUAAAGAUUCGUUGAAGCUCUUCAACGUUGAUUUACAGUUUGUUGUCCUGUGGAUCCAGAAAGAAACAUCUUGUGAACCGUUCCGCCUCUGGCGAGAGGGUAGUGAAGAACUACUUGUCAGCAUUGCUUUUUGCGGUGCCGUGGACAGCUCGCCAACCCCUUCUAAACAUAUAUUUAUUUUUUUAUGCCAGACAUUUAUUGUAUAAAUAUACAAAA
rnacentral:misc_RNA from 1 species